GCAAAGCUGUCUGAGUUUGCUCCCAAGCCUUCCAUUUGAGCCUUAAUAGACUUUGUGAUAGUCAUGGAUAUCAGUUCAUAAUCCACAUACUUAAUUUUAAGUAUACAGUGCUGUUUGGGCUCCUACCUCAAGAGAUGUCAAAGUUGUAUCAGCAGGAAGGCAUUCAUGAGAAGUUUUGAGUAGCUCCAGAAAUUCAAGACUACAUGUUCGAGUUUUUACUAUAAGAGGUUCAACUUGCAGGACAAAAUAUACGUUACUACCCAACGGUUGCCAGGUUUCACACAGCUCCCUCAGUUCAUCAACAGAUUGAGCUAGUCCAGCAAAUGCUUUCUGAAGCAUCUCACUGGAAGCUGCUUCAACAUCG
rnacentral:misc_RNA from 1 species